GCCUUGUGCCUGAAAGGGCGACGGCUUAGCCGGAGCGAGAAGUCAGCAGAGGUCGUAGUAGCGGCAGUACGAGGCCCACAAGGCCGGAUGGAGACCGUGAAGGAC
rfam:Limnohabitans planktonicus II-D5 scaffold00003, whole genome shotgun sequence.